AGUGAACGCUGGCGGUAGGCCUAACACAUGCAAGUCGAACGGCAGCACAGUAAGAGCUUGCUCUUACGGGUGGCGAGUGGCGGACGGGUGAGGAAUACAUCGGAAUCUACUUUUUCGUGGGGGAUAACGUAGGGAAACUUACGCUAAUACCGCAUACGACCUACGGGUGAAAGCAGGGGAUCUUCGGACCUUGCGCGAUUGAAUGAGCCGAUGUCGGAUUAGCUAGUUGGCGGGGUAAAGGCCCACCAAGGCGACGAUCCGUAGCUGGUCUGAGAGGAUGAUCAGCCACACUGGAACUGAGACGCGGUCCAGACUCCUACGGGAGGCAGCAGUGGGGAAUAUUGGACAAUGGGCGCAAGCCUGAUCCAGCCAUACCGCGUGGGUGAAGAAGGCCUUCGGGUUGUAAAGCCCCUUUGUUGGGAAAGAAAAGCAGCAGGUUAAUACCCCGCUGUUCUGACGGUACCCAAGGAAUAAGCACCGGCUAACUUCGUG
rnacentral:rRNA from 1 species